UCCUCCUCCACCUCCGGGUCCUCCUGGUCCCAUUGCUUCCUCCUAGCUCUCUAACAAAAUCUAGCUGCUAACACCACGAUGAUCCUAUCACCACCGCUGAAGAUUAUACUAGACAAGGUUUGCAAGAAACUCGAAUGCCCUGCUACUUGGCUAACUACAAAGACAUUGGUAAAGCUGUUAAAGAGGAUUGGAUUUUGUACUUAUAGGAAUUUGUAUACUUUGCUUAGGCUGGAAGCAUCUGUCUACCAUUUCACAUUUUUCACAAAUGCUACCCUUCAACCUGAUAUUUGGAUCAAAUUUUCACGGUUGACCUGACAUUCUAAGCUACCAUUCAAGGCUAACUACUAUCUUCAGUCAAAAAGUCCAAUUUGAUUUGAUCAUAAGAGAGAGGUGGCAGUCUUUGGUUGCUCCAUGUCACUACAAGGCCGAGCCAAAUCCCCAAAAAAUCCUCUGAAACCAUGUCAAAACCAAUAUGUAUUCAUUACAUUAGUGCAAUGACGGUGGCAGUGGCGGCAAGCACCACCACCUGUACCAGGAUCAAGUUCAGCUUGGUAACUAAAAAACAAAAGGUUCAGCUUGGUGGAUGUAGAUCUACUUGCAUGGGCUGCCGACAAGAACUUAUCCGUUGAUCCCACAACAUCAAGCUGUGGCAUAAAUAUAAAAGCACCAAAUAGCUAUACGCCUGCAAUUUUAUUUUUUAUUUUUUUAAGAAAAGGAGAUUGUGAACGGCAACUGAAUUUAAAGAUCAUAGAUUUGCUCAAGAACGCAAAAUUAAAUACAGGUGAGCAGACUGGUUUUUUUUGUUUGUUCAUCUUCCGAGGAAGACGAAAAUACAUCUAAAAGUCAGGAGACUAAUAAGAAUACAUUUUCCAACUUAUUAACAUAAAAAUUCAAGUCCCUUACUAACAUUUUCCCCCCCUCAAUUCUCUUCUUAUCAAUAUCAUUGAGAAACACCCUAUGGUUGAUAGAUCGAUGAAAACAUAAAGAUUUUUUCUUUUUUAGUCUUUUGACACGAAGGAUGAAACGUUAGAAACGUUGCCAGUGUUUCAUGCCAGCUCAAUUGCUUCAGAUGUGCUCUAACAACACAACUUUCAACAAUAUACAGAUCUAGUUAGAAUCGCAAUGGUAUUCAUUUUUGAUCUAACAGUAGCAUGUUAACAAUUGUGUAAUUUAGGCGAUCAUUUCUUGUGGGUUUUGGCUUUUGGAUGAAUGACUUUUAUUUAUGCAUGUUUUCUCCGGCUGGAUGUUUUCUUCGGCUUUUGGAUGAAUGACUUUUAUUGUUGGGUUGUUUAGGCUGGCUGAACUAUUCUAGAAGUCGAUUUCAUUAUUUUUUUACUUGUGUUUUUUCUUUGGUUCAUCUUUUUUUUAAUCAAAUUCCCACUACAUCAUUAAACAGUAAUUGUCAAAUUAAUUCUGUCCGUGUAAGGCAUAACAUCUGUCAAUAAAAUUAUUGCCGACGGUCUCACCGACGGAAUCCGUCCGUCGGGAUCCUAAUCGUCGGUAAUUUCCUAUUCUGUCACUAAUUCUAUCGGAAAUAAAAAAAACCAACCACCGACGAAACACCGACAGUAUUAUAGACGGCGACGCGCGGUAAAAAAAAAUAAUCCCGCGAGAAUAUUUCUAACAGAAUACAUCCGUCUGUAUUUUCAACGAUAAUCACCGACGGAUUAUUUAUCGGUGAUGGUGACAUGGCGAUAAAUGUUACAGAACUCUAUCAAAUACCAGUUAAUGCAAUUUUUUUGAUACAUUACCGACAGUGAUGGAUCCAGUUUUUUUGCCAUUACCUAAAUAGCUAUUUUUUAAUGCAAUUCUUGAUUACUAAAAACAAAAGAUUAUGAAGAAAUAGAUAUCAUUGCACGUCUGUAGUACAAGACAUGGAUGAAAUACAUGCAAACAAAGAUAAAAAUAGAAGGAUUUCCUGUAGAAAAAGGGCUGGAGAAUAGGAUAGAAGCCCCAUAACAGAGGGUAGAUCCCUAUACUAAAGGAUUCGAGCAUGGGAUAGGAAACCCUAAAAGAAGAACGUGAAACAUGAGAUGGAAACAUUUGUUGCAGCUAAUCAUCGUCCAGGUGGUCCACGUGGACCCCCAAAGCAGUCUCGUAUUAGCCAGCAACAGCACAGGCAGCUCAAGCUGCCAAGCACACAGCAAUCAAAUAUUAGAGAACAGCAAAACAAGGUUUAAUUCUCAAGAUAAUGCUAAAUAAGUUUUCUGCAUAAAACUAUUAGGAUACUACAAUACUGUUUUACCAUAAUGCUACAGGGAGGGGGGAAAGAAGAAUUUAAAAACCAGCCGUUUAGGGCUUAAAACAGUCCAGAAUUUCUUGGAAAAAAAAGAAAAACGAGUGCUAGAAAUGGGAUAUUUUUGGCAGGGUUUUUUAAACAAAAGGAGAACGAUUAACUGCUAAAUUCUGGAGAGGUUUAAGGAAAAAAUGGUGAAAAGCAACAAAAAAAAAUCAGCUUAACAGCUUGUAAAUCUUGCAAUUUCAGUCACGAAGUUAAUUGUGACAGAAACAAAGUUUUAUAGCAUACCAAGAACCUAUGAUGUCACAAAAGCCACCGAAAAAACCAGGUCCUCCUGGUCCCGGACCCCAUCCUCCUCCACCUCCGGGUCCUCCUCCACCUCGUCCUCCUCCACCUCCGGGUCCUCCUCGUCCUCCUCCACCUCCUCCACCUCCGGGUCCUCCUGGUCCCAUUGCUUCCUCCUAGCUCUCUAACAAAAUCUAGCUGCUAACACCACGAUGAUCCUAUCACCACCGCUGAAGAUUAUACUAGACAAGGUUUGCAAGAAACUCGAAUGCCCUGCUACUUGGCUAACUACACAGACAUUGGUAUAGCUCUUAAAGAGGAUUAGAUUUUAUACUCUAGGAAUAGGGAUACUUUGCUUAGGCUGGAAGCAUCUG
rnacentral:lncRNA from 1 species